rnacentral:misc_RNA from 1 species
GAUGAAGAACGUAGCGAAAUGCGAUAAGUAGUGUGAAUUGCAGAAUUCAGUGAAUCAUCGAAUCUUUGAACGCACAUUGCGCCCUUUGGUAUUCCUUAGGGCAUGCCUGUUCGAGCGUCAUUUAACACCUUCAAGCUCCGCUUGGUGUUGGGCGUCUGUCUGCUCACGCGGACUCGCCUCAAAAUCAUUGGCGGCCGGUACAUUGGCUUCGAGCGCAGCAGAAACGCGAACUCGAGGACGGUGGAUCAGCUCCCAGAAGCAAACCCCCCAAUUUUGACCUCGGAUCAGGUAGGGAUACCCGCUGAACUUAAGCAUAUCAAUAGCGGAGGA